AUACUCCUGACUGACCGAUAGUGAACCAGUACCGUGAGGGAAAGGCGAAAAGAACCCCGGCGAGGGGAGUGAAAAAGAACCUGAAACCGUGUACGUACAAGCAGUGGGAGCACCCUUUGGGGUGUGACUGCGUACCUUUUGUAUAAUGGGUCAGCGACUUAUAUUCUGUAGCAAGGUUAACCGAAUAGGGGAGCCGGAGGGAAACCGAGUCUUAAUUGGGCGUUAAGUUGCAGG
rnacentral:rRNA from 1 species